rnacentral:miRNA from 1 species
AUCACCUGCGGAGCUUGUUAAAAUGUAGAAUCUGUUUCUGAGAAGGGGCCUGAGAGUCUGCAUUUCUAACAAGUUUCCAGGUGA